rnacentral:rRNA from 1 species
CCUACGGGCGGCAGCAGUGGGGAAUAUUGGACAAUGGGGGGAACCCUGAUCCAGCCAUGCCGCGUGUGUGAAGAAGGCCCUCGGGUUGUAAAGCACUUUCAGUGAGGAAGAACGCCUGGUGGUUAAUACCCAUCAGGAAAGACAUCACUCACAGAAGAAGCACCGGCUAACUCCGUGCCAGCAGCCGCGGUAAUACGGAGGGUGCGAGCGUUAAUCGGAAUUACUGGGCGUAAAGCGCGCGUAGGUGGCUUGAUAAGCCGGUUGUGAAAGCCCCGGGCUCAACCUGGGAACGGCAUCCGGAACUGUCAAGCUAGAGUGCAGGAGAGGAAGGUAGAAUCCCCGGUGUAGCGGUGAAAUGCGUAGAGAUCGGGAGGAAUACCAGUGGCGAAGGCGGCCUUCUGGACUGACACUGACACUGAGGUGCGAAAGCGUGGGUAGCAAACAGGAUUAGAUACCCCUGUAGUC